rnacentral:rRNA from 1 species
CCUACGGGAGGCAGCAGUGAGGAAUAUUGGUCAAUGGACGAGAGUCUGAACCAGCCAAGUAGCGUGAAGGAUGACUGCCCUAUGGGUUGUAAACUUCUUUUAUAUGGGAAUAAAACGUUCCACGUGUGGGAUUUUGUAUGUACCAUAUGAAUAAGGAUCGGCUAACUCCGUGCCAGCAGCCGCGGUAAUACGGAGGAUCCGAGCGUUAUCCGGAUUUAUUGGGUUUAAAGGGAGCGUAGGUGGAUUGUUAAGUCAGUUGUGAAAGUUUGCGGCUCAACCGUAAAAUUGCAGUUGAAACUGGCAGUCUUGAGUACGGUAGAGGUGGGCGGAAUUCGUGGUGUAGCGGUGAAAUGCUUAGAUAUCACGAAGAACUCCGAUUGCGAAGGCAGUUCACUGGACUGCAACUGACACUGAGGCUCGAAGGUGUGGGUAUCAAACAGGAUUAGAUACCCUGGUAGUC